GUCUCCGUAGCACAAUAGGAUAGCGCGUCGCCCUCCGAAGGCGAAGGUUGUGGGUUCGACCCCCGCCGGAGACG
rnacentral:tRNA from 1 species